GACGAACGCUGGCGGCGUGCUUAACACAUGCAAGUCGAACGCUGAAGCCUAGCUUGCUGGGUGGAUGAGUGGCGAACGGGUGAGUAACACGUGAGUAACCUGCCCUCUUCUUUGGGAUAACGCCCGGAAACGGGUGCUAAUACUGGAUAUUCACUGAUCUUCGCAUGGGGGUUGGUGGAAAGGUUUUUUCUGGUGGGGGAUGGGCUCGCGGCCUAUCAGCUUGUUGGUGGGGUGAUGGCCUACCAAGGCUUUGACGGGUAGCCGGCCUGAGAGGGUGACCGGUCACAUUGGGACUGAGAUACGGCCCAGACUCCUACGGGAGGCAGCAGUGGGGAAUAUUGCACAAUGGGCGAAAGCCUGAUGCAGCGACGCCGCGUGAGGGAUGGAGGCCUUCGGGUUGUAAACCUCUUUCGCUCAUGGUCAAGCCGCAACUUAGGGUUGUGGUGAGGGUAGUGGGUAAAGAAGCGCCGGCUAACUACGUGCCAGCAGCCGCGGUAAUACGUAGGGCGCGAGCGUUGUCCGGAAUUAUUGGGCGUAAAGGGCUUGUAGGCGGUUGGUCGCGUCUGCCGUGAAAUCCUCUGGCUUAACUGGGGACGUGCGGUGGGUACGGGCUGACUUGAGUGCGGUAGGGGAGACUGGAACUCCUGGUGUAGCGGUGGAAUGCGCAGAUAUCAGGAAGAACACCGGUGGCGAAGGCGGGUCUCUGGGCCGUUACUGACGCUGAGGAGCGAAAGCGUGGGGAGCGAACAGG
rnacentral:rRNA from 1 species